AUGGGGACACCACACGCUGAUUCAGAAAAGACUGGAGAAAUAGAUACAAGGGCUCCUUUUGAAUCUGUUAAAGCUGCAGUAAGCUUGUUUGGAGAGGUUCGGUUUUCCUCUGAAAGAUCCGCCACCAGAAAGGCACAGGCCCCACAAGCAGAGAGGGUGUUGGCUAAGGAGACAGAACUGCACUUGGCUCAGAAAGAGUUGGAUAAAUACAAGGAACAACUGAGUAAUGCUGAGACUACCAGACUCCAGGCCCUCUCUGAGCUUGAGAGGGCUAAAAAAAGCGUUGUGGAUCUAACAAAUAAGCUUGAUGCAGUCAACAAGUCAAAAGAACUGAAUAUCCGGGCAACAGAAAAUGCAAAUAUUCGAACAAAGGAGCUCGAAGGUGGCAGCUCUAGUGAAGCCGUUGGAAAGGAUGGUCCUUUGAAGCAGGAGCUAGACAAUGCGAGGGAACAGUAUGCUAUUGCUUUGGCAGAUCUUGAUGCAGCAAAGCAGGAGCUUAGAAAAAUGAGAAAGGAUUUUGAAACCUCACUGGAUGCUAAGUUACUUGCUGCCCAGCAGGAAGCAGAGUCUGUGCAGUCUUCUGAAUCAAACAAGGAAAAGGCAUCUCAACUCCGUACCGAGAUUGCAAUGGUUCAAGAGUCACUUACGCAUGCUAAGGCAGCCACAGAGCAAGCACGUGAAGAGGAGGCAAACAUCCUUGCUGAGAAGGAUGCUGCCAGGAGAACUUGUAAAGAAUCUCUGGAAGAAGCUCAGAGAAAAUUGUCAAAUUUGAGAAAUGAUUUUGAUCCUGUAGCUUUCAAGGGCCUCCAGGAGAAACUCGAUGAGACUUAUUCUGAGAUUGCAUCUUUGCAGAAGAAGAUCGAAGAUGCGAGAGAUAGAGAUUUGGAGUCUGUUUCUGCUGUCAGCACAGAGUUGGAUGAUGCUAAAGAAACGUUGCAGAAAGUUGCACAAGAGCAAACUUCUCUUAGCAGUUUAGUUGAAUCGCUGAGGCUGGAGUUACAGGCUGUAAAGGAGGAACACAGUCAGCUGAAACAUAAGGAUGCAGAAAUUGAAUCUAUUGUAGGGGACCUCCAUGUUAAGCUCCAGAAGUGUAAAUCUGAUCUUGAGACUGCAGUAGCCACAGAAUCGGAUGCAACACUAGCUUCUGAUGACCUGAUGUUGGCCCUCGAGCAGUUGUCUUCUGAGUCAAAAAAUGCUCUUCAGGAAGCUGAGGUGCUGCAAAAGCGUGCAGCCGAGUUAAGAGACGAAGCUGAAGCAGCACGUGCUUCAUUAGUGGAAGCAGAGCAAAAGUUGCAGUCCUCUUUGAAGGAAGCAGAAGUAGCAAAAGCUGCUGAAACAAGGGCUCUUGAUCAGAUCAAGCAACUAUCAGAAAAGGCAAGUGCUGUCCGUGCCUCAAUAUCCGAGCCAGGUGCAAACAUCACGAUCUCAAAGGAGGAGUUUGAAUCUCUAAGCCGAAAGGUAGAGCAGACGGAGAAGCUGGCAGAGAUGAAGGUCGCGGCUGCUAUGGCCCAGGUGGACGCUGUUAGAGCCAGCGAGAAUGAGGCGAUCAAGAAACUGGAAGCUGCCCGCAAGGAGAUGGAGGACAUGGAACUGGCAACAGAGGAGGCGCUAAAGAAGGCAGAGACAGCGGAAGCAGCAAACAAGGCGGUCGAAAGUGAGCUCAAGAGGUGGCGAGAGAAGGAAGAACAAAACAAAAACACCGAGACCUACGUGCCUCCGGUGGGAGCGACAUCACUGGCAGACGCUCCAUCUCACAAGGCUUCUUCCGCAAAAGCCAAUGAGAAGAGCAACGGUCAUCAGAAGAACAGCAAAGCUGUAUUGCGGAAGAGCUUCAUGCUGCCCAGCAUCACAGGAAUGUUCCACCAUAAGAAGAAGAACAAUGCCGAUGGCAGUUCCCACUCAUAA
rnacentral:rRNA from 1 species